CCUACGGGAGGCAGCAGUGGGGAAUAUUGGACAAUGGGCGCAAGCCUGAUCCAGCAAUGCCGCGUGUGUGAAGAAGGCCUUCGGGUUGUAAAGCACUUUUAUCGGGAACGAAAUACCACGGGUUAAUAACCUAUGGGGCUGACGGUACCCGAGGAAUAAGCACCGGCUAACUUCGAUGCCAGCAGCCGCGGUAAU
rnacentral:rRNA from 1 species